GACGAACGCUGGCGGCGUGCCUAAUACAUGCAAGUUGAGCGCUGAAGGUUGGUACUUGUACCAACUGGAUGAGCAGCGAACGGGUGAGUAACGCGUGGGGAAUCUGCCUUUGAGCGGGGGACAACAUUUGGAAACGAAUGCUAAUACCGCAUAAAAACUUUAAACACAAGUUUUAAGUUUGAAAGAUGCAAUUGCAUCACUCAAAGAUGAUCCCGCGUUGUAUUAGCUAGUUGGUGAGGUAAAGGCUCACCAAGGCGAUGAUACAUAGCCGACCUGAGAGGGUGAUCGGCCACAUUGGGACUGAGACACGGCCCAAACUCCUACGGGAGGCAGCAGUAGGGAAUCUUCGGCAAGGGACGAAAGUCUGACCAAGCAACGCCGCGUGAGUGAAGAAGGUUUUCGGAUCGUAAAACUCUGUUGGUAGAGAAGAACGUUGGUGAGAGUGGAAAGCUCAUCAAGUGACGGUAACUACCCAGAAAGGGACGGCUAACUACGUG
rnacentral:rRNA from 1 species